UUCAGUGCCAUCCCUGAUCACGUCUUGGACCCUCCUUGUGCUUGUAUCUACAAAGGAAACCAGAGAAAGGAGGGGAAUGCAUGACCAGCAAAGAACCAGUAUGGGCUAUAACUGGUACAGACAGAGAAGCAAGGCUGAGGCAUGAGAGUGACCAGCGCAGGAAGGUACUACUCUGCACAAACACUGCCCUGGACAGAAAGAAUCAAGAAAAGAAAAUCAAAA